rnacentral:rRNA from 1 species
AGUGAACGCUGGCGGUAGGCCUAACACAUGCAAGUCGAACGGCAGCACAGGAGAGCUUGCUCUCUGGGUGGCGAGUGGCGGACGGGUGAGGAAUACAUCGGAAUCUACUUUUUCGUGGGGGAUAACGUAGGGAAACUUACGCUAAUACCGCAUACGACCUACGGGUGAAAGCAGGGGAUCUUCGGACCUUGCGCGAUUGAAUGAGCCGAUGUCGGAUUAGCUAGUUGGCGGGGUAAAGGCCCACCGAGGCGACGAUCCGUAGCUGGUCUGAGAGGAUGAUCAGCCACACUGGAACGGAGACACGGUCCCGACUCCUACGGGAGGCAGCAGUGGGGAAUAUUGGACAAUGGGCGCAAGCCUGAUCCAGCCAUACCGCGUGGGUGAAGAAGGCCUUCGGGUUGUAAAGCCCUUUUGUUGGGAAAGAAAUCCAGCUGGCUAAUACCCGGUUGGGAUGACGGUACCCAAAGAAUAAGCACCGGCUAACUUCGUGCCAGCCGCCGCAGUAA